rnacentral:rRNA from 1 species
UGCGGAGGGAUCAUUACAUAAUAAAAUAUGAAGGCUGUACGCGGCUGUGCUCUCGGGCCAGUUUUGCGGAGGCUGAAUUAUUUAUUACCCUUGUCUUUUGCGCACUUGUUGUUUCCUGGGCGGGUUCGCCCGCCACCAGGACCACAUCAUAAACCUUUUUUAUGCAGUUGCAAUCAGCGUCAGUAUAACAAAUGUAAAUCAUUACAACUUUCAACAACGGAUCUCUUGGUUCUGGCAUCGAUGAAGAACGCAGCGAAAUGCGAUACGUAGUGUGAAUUGCAGAAUUCAGUGAAUCAUCGAAUCUUUGAACGCACAUUGCGCCCUUUGGUAUUCCAAAGGGCAUGCCUGUUCGAGCGUCAUUUGUACCCUCAAGCUUUGCUUGGUGUUGGGCGUUUUUUGUCUUUGGUUGCCAAAGACUCGCCUUAAAAGGAUUGGCAGCCGGCCUACUGGUUUCGCAGCGCAGCACAUUUUUGCGCUUGCAAUCAGCAAAAGAGGACGGCAAUCCAUCAAGACUCCUUCUCACGUUUGACCUCGGAUCAGGUAGGGAUACCCGCUGAACUUAAGCAUAUC